UAAAGCGUGCGCAGGCGGUUAUGUAAGACAGAUGUGAAAUCCCCGGGCUCAACCUGGGAACUGCAUUAGUGACUGCAUAGCUGGAGUACGGCAGAGGGGGAUGGAAUUCCGCGUGUAGCAGUGAAAUGCGUAGAUAUGCGGAGGAACACCGAUGGCGAAGGCAAUCCCCUGGGCCUGUACUGACGCUCAUGCACGAAAGCGUGGGGAGCAAACAGGAUUAGAACCCGUGU
rnacentral:rRNA from 1 species